CGUGUUGACACGGAUUCAAUCGUGUCGUGUUCGUGUCGAUGUAAAAAUUAAUCGUGUCAACCAUGUUCGUAUUUAGUCAUGUUACACGAAUCACUAAACCUACUCACAGAAGUCAGAGUAGAUAUUGCUAAAACACAACUUGCACUAAUGACGGGAGGGAGGACGCCGUUCGCCUGCUAUUGGUCCUACUCAAUCUACGUACGGACGUACAACCGUACAUGGUGGUCAGUUUGGGAACCGCAAGAGUGAACAUAGCUCCCAGUGGAUGAUUCCUUUCCAAAUACCACGGCACUUCGCUAUCUUCGCCCGACGAGCGUGGUCCUCAACCUGCUCUGCCAGAACUUCUCGAAGACCUUGUCCAUGUCGCUAGCAUGAGUUGACGCCUCAAGCUCGACGGUGGCAGACAUCUCGACCACCACGCCCUGAUACUUGUCAACAUCAACGGAGGCCUCACAUUUAUCAACGGAGGCCUCAACAUCAACAUCAACAUCAACGGGUAUGCCCAUGAUUGGCAACUUGGAGUAUUUUCUCAUUCGUCAAGUAUUUAUCUUGAGUUAUGACCAAUGUUCGGGAGUUGCAACACAUUCCGACUCUUGAGCAUAUCGAGAGGCUUCCCGUGAGUAGGUGGUGGAGAGACAAGGUCAUUUUUGCUACAAACAGUCAUGGGAAUAAAAAAGAAACGAUCACGCCAAUUGUGGGCCCGGUCAGAACAAGUAGAUACCUGCACCCAAUUUUCAUUGUGGACAUCACCAACAGAUAGUACUAGACAAAAAAGUUAUUGAGAGAAGCAACGAUGUCGCAGUCCCGACAAAGCGUUUCAAAGCAGAUAAGUCGCGCCAGCGACGUUGACGGAAAUUGUGAAAGCAUGACCCCACACAUAUUCACGGCCGACCGGACUAGAGGAGAAAGGGAGAUCUUCAGACCAACGUCGGCAUAAUGAGUAUAAACGAUGACAAAGCUGGUCAGAGGGUGUGAACCCAAGGCAUUCCCAGGAGUUUUAUGGCUGAUCACGAUGUUGGAUGACAUCCUCGUAAGCGCAUCCCUGAUCCCGUGGUCGGAAACAUUCGACCGUGGAUUAUUUUUGGAGGGCUCCAGUCUGAAAAGCGAGCUAAGGCGAUCGCUCCAGUCCAGAAGAGGAAGCUAUCGUUGCAACGGAUGGUGAAAGUGGUAACCUGUAGAAGGGAGGAGAGAAUUGAGGCAAGUGAGAAACAACGGAGAGUAAGAGCUGAAGGGGAGUAUUUAACCAAAUGUAUUUUGCUUAUUAUGAAAUAAAAAUUACAGUUUUCCUCCACUCUUCAUCUCCACAAAUUCCAUACGUUACAUCUUCAUCGUGAACUCCCUCCGGCCAUCUUUCCGACCAUCGAUUCACCUAGCCUCACUCCACAAUCAGCCACCAAACUUCAGACGUCCUCCUAGCAAGCCACCGCGACGCUCGGGGUACCUUCAAUUUCGUGAAAGGAACCUCAUAGCAACAUCAAACUUCAAUUCAGAAAUUAAUUUUUUUUAGCCCUCGUAUUCCGAUCUUAGAUCGGAGACAUUGGGCCUAUUCAGGUCCUAUUAAUUUCAAAAAAAAUUCUGGAUUAAUCCUUGAUACAAUUGAUCCGUAUCAACAAGCAAGUCAAGUCAAGAAAGAUGGAAUCAUAGUUAGCAAUAGUGGAAAACAGUUGGAUACUAGUAUAUUUUGAGACCACUGUAACAUGUACGAGCAUGUUAAGGAGGGAUGCUAUAGUUUGAUUGGAUUUUCUAACAAGAUAGGAAAAAUCCACAAGGUGAACCAGGCUGCUUCAACCAACAGAGCAGUACAAGAUCAAGAGAUGAUGGGAAAGGAACCUUCAGGUAUAAGAUGAUAAUUUCAGGAAUUACUUUAAGCAAUAAAAUCUCAAGAUUCAAAAAUAAAAUGAAAAUUGAAUUUAUAAUUGAUUUAGUAGCAGAUGAGCACAUGACUGAAGAUUAUAAUUUCCUAACAAAUGUGACCGACCGACCAGUUGUAUGCAUCCCACUAGUGUUAAAAUACCUAGUGGGGCAUCAUGCAUGUGGGGUAAACAAAAUAAGUGAUAUAGUUAUAUCACCAACACUAAUCCUAAGAGGAGUACGUACGUAUUAUUUGUGCAAAAUUUCUUAGUAAACUCAGUUGAAAAAUUAACAAGAAAUAAUGAUAUUAUUUACUAAAGAAUUUUGUAAAAUACAGGAGAUGACUGGAAGGAGUAAGCUCAAUGAUGGAUUCCACAUCAUUCAAAUGAUGUGGAGCUAGCAUAUUUUGUGUAAUCAUGCAUGUAGUAGCCACAUAUAAUUUGUGGCAUAGUAGAUUGAGACAUACUUCCCAAGAUAAGUUAUUUUACAUAAAUUUUUUUUAACACUGUAAACAUAAAUAAUGACAGAAUUUUUUUGGAUAAUUGUGAUUUUUGUCAUUUAGAAAAAAUGCAUAAACUUUCUUAUGCUUUAAGCAAAACUUAUAAAACUCUUAAAUGUUUUGAUUUGAUACACAUUGAUGUAUAUGGGGUAAAUUUUGCAAACCUACAAAUGAUGGUUAUAAUUAUUUUUGACAUUAGUAAAUGAUCAUUCUAGACAUACAUGAAUUUUCUUAAUGGAUUUUAAAAAUGAAAGUUUUGGAUUAAUUCAUUCAUUUUUUCUAUUAAUAUUAAUCAGAACUAAUUAAUAAUGGAAUAGAAUUCAUUAAUUUAUCAAUGAGUGACUUCCUAUCAUCCAGAGGAGUCAUUCAUCAACAUACAUGUCCAUACACACCUCAGUAAAAUGGAAUUGUUGAAAGAAAACACAAACACUUGUUGGAGGUACGUAUUGUUGAAAGCCCUAUUCUUUCAAUCACAAGUGCCAUUGAAUUUUUGGAGAUUGAUUUUGAAGUGUGCAACACACAUCAUAAACAAGCUCCCAUCAAGAAAAAUUGAAAAAAACACACCACAUUCCAUUCUAUAUGGAGACAUACCAAUAAAUUACAAUUAUUUGAAGUCUUUUGGAUGCUUAGCUUUUGCAUCUACACAUAUGAGACACAAGUUCUCGCCUAGGCUAGCAAGGAAGUUUUUAUGGGUUAUUGCCAAAAUAUCAAGGGAUAUCUCAUUUAUCUAUAAGAUGGGGACAAAAUAAUAACUACAAGAAAUGUCAAGUUUCAUGAAAACACCCUUUUAAGGACAAAAUUCAAGAAAAAUAUGAAAUAUCCUCUCAAAAAAAAUGAGGAUAUGUUCAUAAGUGUAUAUGAAAAGCACAAGAAAAGCAAACAACAAGAGGGAAAUGGUGUUCAAAAUACCAACAAUCAUGAGGUACAAAAUGUUGAGGCGGGCGGGAACCAAUGAAAUAGAUCAAUCAUGUAAAGCACAAGAUGAAAAUCAAAUUCAGACCACCAGUAAGGUAUCUGAAUAUGAGGAAAGAAACAACAAAGAACCAAUUUUAGAAUCCUCUGACCCAAAUAGGAGGUCAACAAGGAAUAAAAGAAAGCCUUCAAAAUAUAUAGAGUAUUUUUGUUCUUUCAUCAGGAACCAAGAUAAAAUACAAAAAUCAGAUCAUCCCAUUCAAGAAAAAUUGAAUUAUGACAAAUUCAAUCAAAAUCAUAAGAAUUUCCUAAAUAACAUUCUAAAAAUUCACGAACCUCAAAACUAUAGAGAGGCGACCACUAACCCAAACUGGUGUGAUGCCAUAGAAACAGAAAUGAAAGCACUUCAAAUUAAUAAAACUUGGUUUUUAACAGAGUUACCAAGUGAGAAAAAGCCCAUCAGUUGUAAAUGUAUUUAUAAAAUCAAACAUGCAUAAGGUAGAUAGAACCACUGAGCGCUAUAAAGAGAGAUUGGUUGCCAGAAGAUACACCCAGAUUGAUUGACUAUCAUGAUAUCUUUGCUCCAGUGGAAAAAUUGGUAUCUAUCAAGACCUUAAUUGCAUUGGCUGCCACAAAAGGAUGUCAGUUGCAUCAAUUAAAUGUCAACAAUGCAUUUUUAAAUGGGGACUUGAAGGAGGAUAUAUAUACGAAACCUCCACCAGGACUAUUAAAGAAAGGUGACAAUAGAGUCUUCAAAUUGACAAAAUCAUUAUAUGGACUCAAUCAAGCAUCUAGAAAUUGGUUUUCAAAAUUGAAAAACAUAUUGCUUGGGUUUGGAUAUAUACAUACAGUUCAAAGCAGACAACUCUUUAUUUUUUAACAAAAAGGGAGGGAAUUCAACUUUCCUUCUUGUAUAUGUGGAUGAUAUACUCAUUUCAAGAAAUGAUCCAAGGUCCAUAAACCAAUUAAAAAUAAAAAUCCAGCAAGUUUUUAACAUAAAAAACCUUGGCAAGCUUAAAUACUUCUUGGGUAUUGAAUUAUCAUCCUUAAAAGAGGGUAUUCACCUUUCUCAGAGAAAAUAUGUUAUGGAUCUACUAAACCAAUAUGGGAUGAUGAGCAGUAGAAUAUCCUUAAUCCCAAUGGACAUAACCAUUGAUCUCAAGAAAGAUGACUCACAGAUACUGAAAGACCCAACAAGAUAGUGAAUACAUUAAGACAAUUCAUGCAAAUACCAAGGGAAUGCCAUCUACAAACAAGAUAGUGAAUACAUUAAGACAAUUCAUGCAAAUACCAAGGGAAUGCCAUCUACAAACAAUAUUUAAAAUAUUGAAAUAUUUGAAGAACUCUCCUGGUUAGGGUUUAUUCUACAAAUAUAACAACACAAUAUUACAUACCAUUUGACGGCAAGGAAGUAAAUCAACAGCUAGAGAAAGAUUUAAUAAACGAGGAGGAUGAAGAAAACACGGAGGAAGAAACAAGCGAAACAACAAGGACUGGGCGAGG
rnacentral:lncRNA from 1 species